AAUCUGGCGCAAUGGGCGAAAGCCUGACGCAGCCAUGCCGCGUGAAGGAUGAAGGUCUUAGGAUUGUAAAAUUCUUUCACCGGGGGCGAUAAUGACGGUACUCGGAGAAGAACCGCCGGCUAAGGGCGUGCCAGCAGCCGCGGUAAUACGAACGGGGCUAGCGUUGCUCGGAAUUACUGGGCGUAAAGGGCGCGUAGGCCGACAUUUAAGUCAGGGGUGAAAUCCCAGAGCUCAACUCUGGACCUGCCUUUGAUACUGGGUGCCUUGAGUGUGAGAGAGGUAUGUGGAACUCCGAGUGUAGAGGUGAAAUUCGUAGAUCUUCGGAAGAACACCAGUGGCGAAGGCGACAUACUGGCUCAUUACUGACGCUGAGGCGCGAAAGCGUGGGGAGCAAACA
rnacentral:rRNA from 1 species